rnacentral:lncRNA from 1 species
GUGAGAGGGGAUGUGAAUCCUGAUGGCCCCUGAGCAGAGAGCAGAGAAGCUGGUUUUCCCAUGGCAUGGUCUUGUCCCAGCUUCCGACAGAGACAAGAGAGGCUCUGCAGGCCUCAGGGGUUCACCAGUGCACUUACGGGUCACAGAGAGGGUGAGUGGUCAUCAUGGUCAAGUCCCAGGAGAACACAGGGCUGUGUGGCAGACACUGUGGGCAGCAGCGUCCUUGGCCCAAGCAGCAGGAGAGGGGAGUCACCACUCACUGGCAGAUGCCACCAGCAGCCACUGCAGGGCAGGGGCCCAGGCUGCAGGGACAGGGAAAGCCGGCGUCUCAGUCUCAGCAGAGGGAGAUGCUGGCACUGGUGCAGUCCAGUUUCAGGAUCGAUCUGGUUUGGAGAAAAUGCUAAAAGCUACACAGCUCAUGAUCUUGCCACCACAGUCUCCUCCCCCAGAAGUUCUCUGAAUGCAUCACCCCUGGGAACCUGGGGUCGACAUGGUGAAAGUGAACUCUCAUGUCAGAUGGCAUCCAGGCAUCCUGGUGGCCUCUCACAAAUGGACCUUUGCACCCACAAUCUCCUGUUAGCUGCCCUGGCCUUGUCCAGAGCCAGUCCUAGUCCUCCUGACCAUGGUCCACCGUGCCCCACUGCAUCACACCUGAGAGUCUGCCCUGCAGGAUGCAUACUCUGCUCUGUCACCUUCAUAGAAACCGUUGGUCUACACGGUCACCUCCACUUCCUGUCUGUCUCAGUUCCUAAAGCAUCAGCCCUAGGAGGCUGUAAGCAGGCUAACAACUACUUGGGUCCCUGGACAAGUGGAGGUUCAGGUCUGUCCAUGGUGCGGCACAUUUCCACUACGUAGCAGCCCGUUUUGUUUGCCAAAGACCUGUCGACGGACACAUGGACUGCUUUCACGCUGCAGACGUUAGGAACAUGUCUGCUGGGCGCUUUGCCUGUG